CACGGGGGGAGCAAGCGUUGUUCGGAAUCACUGGGCGUAAAGGGCGUGUAGGCGGUUGGGUAAGUGGGAUGUGAAAUGCCUCGGCUCACCCGAGGACCGGCAUCCCAAACUGCCUGACUUGAGUAUGGGAGAGGAUGAGGGAAUUCCUGGUGUAGCGGUGAAAUGCGUAGAUAUCUGGAGGAACACCGGUGGCGAAGGCGGCGUUCUGGACUGCAACUGACACUGAAAAACGAAAGCCAGGGGAGCAAACGGG
rnacentral:rRNA from 1 species